GAUGAAUGCUGGCGGCGUGCCUAAUACAUGCAAGUCGUACGGAAAGGCCCUUCGGGGUACUCGAGUGGCGGACGGCUGAGUAACGCGUGGGAACGUGCCCCAAGGUGAGGAGUAACUGCCCGAAAGGGUAGCUAAUGCCGCAUAUGGUCUUCGGAUUAAAGCUUCGGCGCUUUGGGAGCGGCCCGCGUACGAUUAGAUAGUUGGUGAGGUAAUGGCUCACCAAGUCGACGAUCGUUAGCUGGUCUGAGAGGAUGAUCAGCCAGACUGGAACUGAGACACGGUCCAGACUCCUACGGGAGGCAGCAGUAAGGAAUCUUCCACAAUGGGCGAAAGCCUGAUGGAGCAACGCCGCGUGCAGGAUGAAGGCCUUCGGGUCGUAAACUGCUUUUAUAAGUGAAGAAUAUGACGGUAACUUAUGAAUAAGCACCGGCUAACUACGUGCCAGCCGCCGCCGUAA
rnacentral:rRNA from 1 species